ensembl:lncRNA
CAUUAAGGAUGCAGCUCAGGCAGUGCUUGUGGGAGGAGGAAGGAACCGGGGCAGGCAGGCGGAUGGCUGGGCGGGAGGCACUGCAGCACAGCCCAGCAGCCCCAGAGAGACUUUCAGAGGCUCUGCCCACAGGUACAGAGAGCUGAGCCCCUGUCCCCGAGCACCCCAGCCUCAGUCAGCAGCUUCCUCAUCUCUGCCCAGGACACCUACACCACCUGGCCUCUGAGCCUGGCUGAGCCAGAGAACUCAAAGCCUAGCUGGAAUGUUGCUGUUUUCGCAGAGAAAAAUCAAAGGAAAGGGAUUAUAAUUAUGGGUCAAGUCUUGAGCAGGAAGCAGUUGCGGGCGCUGGGGGCUCCCCUUGCUUGGGCGUCUUUUGUAUCAGCAAAGAGCCAGGCAUCCUAGAGGCGGGCUGAAAGGGACAUGACCAGGGUUUUUGCCUCUUCCCAUUUUCUCCCAUUUCUUGCCCUCAUCAAAUGCCGGGCUCCUGUUGUCUCUUGAAUUGUUCUCGGUGAAGCAAAUGCCUACAGCCAGGUAUGAAAUGCCCAGCUCAUCAGCCGCAGAGGACCCUGGGCCUCCUAGCCCCAGUGGCCCCCAACUUCCUUACGGGACUGGCAUGGACCAUCCCCACCCACCACCACCAUCCCCACCCCGAGAUUCUGGGCUAUCCAGAGACUCACAGUGGAGCACCAUUCAUUAGUCCUACCCAAGUCUCAGAAGUCCUUUUCCAACCUGGCCAGCUGGGAGAAGAAAAGAGAAAAGGAAGAGAGAGAGAGAGAAGGAAUAGCAGCCCUCGCUUUGAGCUGAAACUCUCCUUCCCUCCUUGCAAGCACAGCGACCUGCCCGACCCACAAAGUCUUCCGAGUUUCAUCCGCCUCCACGAACGCCAGACUUGAAAGUCCCACCUGAGGCUCAUGUUUUCAAAUCUCUUGGUUUUUUUUUUAACACAAACUUUCAGCAUCAACUUGAAGCUGCCAUUAAAAACCCCAGGCCUGGCGGUCCUGCAGUUGAGCAUUUCCACCUGGAUUUGAGUAAACAGCCAUGAAUAAUCCAGUGUUUCCUGCAGGGCCACAUGCCCUGUCCACCCCCCCCCCCCGCCCUCCCCCUCCCCAAGGGUCUGGGAGACCAGACCUUCCUGUCUCAAACCGCUGACUCAGAACAUGUGAGCUGGAGAGUGCCAUGGAGUCACUGCCUCUGAUGCCCUCCUGUGAUGGAGGAGGAGAAGAAAACCACCCAAGCUCAAAGGAGGGUGAGCAACAACCACCUACCUUCCCUACUCUUCACAAAACAGCCCGGCAGCUCCAGGGAUGGCCCAGCGCCGAGUUCCUACAGAACCAAGGGGAACCUGCAUGUUUACGGUCCUGGCCAGAAACAGCAAGGCCCUGCUCAGUACUGGCCCCAUGGGUGACCUCAACAAAGUGUUUUCCCUCCUUUGACCCUAAACCCACAUCUUUCUAAGGAGGAGGAUAGAGCAAGUGGCUGGCAGUGCCCUUUGCAGCUGGGAUGAGUUAGGACACAUUAACGGAACAAGUGCCACCCCACAGGAGGGUGGUUGGAAGCAUGUUGUCCCAAAUUCAAAUCUAGCUCUCCCAGUUAGGGAGUGGAUGAGCCAGGAUCAGUCACUCCGCUUCACUGAGCCAGGGUUUCUGCACUGAAAUCAGGGGUAACAAGAGCCCACCUGAUGGAACUGUGGGAUCCAAUGAGCUGGUUCAUGCAAAAUGCUCAGCACAGAGCAAGGGACACACUCCCACACUCAGGCACUGGGGCCACCCCUGGAGCAUGUUAAAAGGCUGACUGUCUGCAGAGGUGGAGGCAGGAUGUGGGGGGAGGAGAGAGGAAGACACUGGAGGCCCCAAG